GAUGAACGCUGGCGGCGUGCCUAACACAUGCAAGUCGAACGAAGCACCAUGACGGAUCCUUCGGGUGGAGAUGUGGUGACUGAGUGGCGGACGGGUGGAGUAACGACGUGGGUAACCGUAGCCCUCGUACAGGGGGAGUAACAGCUGGAAACGGACGUGCUAAUACCGCAUAAGCGCACGGAAGACAUCUUCCAGUGUGAAAAACUACCGGUGGUACAGGAUGGCCCGCGUCUGAUUAGCUUGUUGGCGGGGUAACGGCCCACCAAGGCGACGAUCAGUAGCCGGUCUGAGAGGAUGAACGGCCACAUUGGAACUGAGACACGGUCCAAACUCCUACGGGAGGCAGCAGUGGGGAAUAUUGCACAAUGGGGGAAAACCCUGAUGCAGCAACGCCGCGUGAGUGAAGAAGUAUUUCGGUAUGUAAAGCUCUAUCAGCAGGGAAGAUAAUGACGGUACCUGACUAAGAAGCUCCGGCUAAAUACGUGCCAGCAGCCGCAGC
rnacentral:rRNA from 1 species